AACUAUGUUUAUGGUUUGUAUCACAGAAAUGAAAUAUAUCUCUGCAUUUUUAUAUCUGGUCUGUUUCCUUGUUUCCUUUGUUUCUAACUCGACAUAGAUUUUUUUUUCGAAUAUAUAAUGGCACUACUCAGAUAUCUUGCCCUAUCUUUCCUUAUUUUCACUGCAUGCAUUUAAUCACUGUAUUACUUAAUGUUUGAUUUGUUAUUAUGGGCAUUUCAAAUAGACAAGCAUGAAAUUGUAAUGACAAGAAGCCUAUUUUAUAUUGAGGAUAUAUGCAUUUGUAUUUCACACACCAGAGAUAUUAAACACUGAUUAUUUUAUGCUGCUGUUUAUUAAAAAUGUUUACCAUAAACUAUUUCCUGAAUAUUGCUAUCAUGGAGGUAUUUGGCAAUUUUAAUAUUAUUUCUCCUAAUGUUUGACAUUUCAUAGAAAGAGGAAUCAUAAUUUCUAUUUACUGCUAUUUCAUUGAAAUGCUUUUUUUUUCAAGUAAGCUGUUAUAAUAGACUUGAACAUUCUUUUGCUAGUGACCACAAGUGGAAGGAAGAAUUCCAGUGAUUUUUAUGACCAUAUAUCACCCACCUAUAGAUGGCAAG
rnacentral:lncRNA from 1 species